GUUAACAGGUAUCUGUUUAGCACUCAGACACCCGGACUGCCUGGAUAACCUCCUUGCUGCCUCCCUGUGAUAUUUCACUCUAUCUCGCCAGUCAGUAUCAGGAUGGAGAAAGAGAGAAUACUUAUUUUCUUUGCACCUGUUGCAAACUGCAAAUUGGAUGAUGCAAAUUAAUUACCACCAAUAUACCUGAAGGCCAAAGAGCUUCCCUAUAUAUAUUCUGAAAAUUUCUUGUUGUUUCAAAAGUGCCUGCAAGUAAAGAUCAUGGAAGUAUUUGGCCAAAACUUUCACCAUAAGAUGAAGGAAGCAGUAGAAGAGGCUAGAAAUCAUGUCCUUGGACCCAUUUCUACAGUGGAACUGGUAUAUUAAAGGUGUUUUUGUCAGUAAUUAUCAACACAGUGCUCACCAUAUUCAAUGUUUACACAUAGUCACAAUGGGAAGAAAGUGAACUGCCUGCGUUUCUGAGUUUGUUAUUCCACACUUUCCAUAGAAAAACUCACAGUAAAUUCAACAUAAUGAACACCAUGGUGCCCUGCAAGACUUUUAAGAUGGAAGGUGAGUUGUUAUUUCCCUGUACUACCAGGAUCAAUUGCUUUGUCAACACCACGCAGCCAAAUCUGGGGACAAACCAGGGGAAAAAUGCAGUGAAACUAGGAUCAAGUGAACUGAGUUUUCUUGCAUUUCAGAGAUUCACCCAGUUGUUAAAGCAGAGUAUUUCCAGAAGGAGAGAAACAGCUUUACUGCUAAUCUGUAUGGCUGAAGCAAAGUACUCUCUUCUAUCUUCUAAAAGGACCAGAAGAUUUGACUUCAAAGAUGUGUUGCACUGUAUGCAGUCCAUUACUUCUGUAGACAUGUGUGCUAAGGAAGAGUCUUU